AUAUAAAAAGCAUACUGAACUCUAUACAAUCUUCUUGAACGCAAACCUGCAAGUUCGUCCUUUAGUUUUUCCAGCGAUGAAGAUUCAUUAUGACCAACACGUGUACGUGCGUCCCGAGAACCCCUCUUACUGCAGGCGUCUGCUGGUUGGAAGAAGUGGAAAGACAUGAUAAAUAGAGAAAGUGUGAUGCAGGUUUUGCAAAGAGGCUGUUACUGAAGGGUCAGGCAGAUAAAAACUAUACUGGACUUGAUUGAAAACCUCUAAAUAUCAGAUCACCUGGGAAGGAUGUCAGUACUAGAUAUAAACAAGGCCUAAAUCAGCACGAGAGAGAGAAACAUACGUUUUUGUAUCUGACAGAUGUUUUCAUACGCCCUGAUCCCUAAUCCAAUCUUUUCUUCGGUACCUCUUCCUCACCCCAAAUUUUUGUCUCGGCUCAUCUCUCAGAAUCACAUCCACACAUGGCCGAUCCCCAUCAUUAUCCAAUCACAUCCAUCCACCGCCCUCCGUGUCAACGGCAAUACAAUCAGUACCAUAUGGUAGCCACAUUCGCGAGACCCCCGCACUUCCUGAUCGCUUCCUUUCGGGAGGCGGCGCUGAGCAGACGUGAGGGGAGAUGUAAUCAGACGUUUGGCAGAAUCUGCAGCAAUCAGGCACGCCAUCAGACGCUUUCUGGUCCUUGGCCACCGGGGCUUAAGGGUAUCUGGGGUGUGUGCGGGUAACAUCAAAGUUCCUGGAUAAGAGAAAGAGUUGGAGAGAGAGGAGAUUACAUGGAUUAGGACGGAGGGGGAAGGAAUAAUGUAAUUAAACACUUGUCGAGAUUUUAUUCCACCCUGUAGACAUGAGAGAGACUCUGUAGGGGCUGAUAUGCUGAUUAUAACUCACACUGCUCCAAAUUUGUUGACAGAAUACCGUGUGUUGGGCAUUUGCCCUGGGAGCGACUCUUAAUGCCGUCAUAUUAGAAAGAAAGAUGGAGUGUUAUAGCGGCAUAAAUGUAGCGAGACAAAGAAAUUGCAUUCCUUCUGAGUUGCGCACACAAUUUCUGUCUUUCAGCACCCUCUGUAAUGUUAAUGGCCGCCCGUCUGUUGGACGCUACCUUUGUGUUCCAGCUCAAGCGAGGAUGUGAUGUCAUCGGGGCUUUUGUGUGUCUAAUCCAGUGCAAACAUUAGAUGUCUACAGUGGUGAUGUAUGAGUGUGCAUAGUACAGAAACUCAAGUAUGCAGAGCAAAUGCAUCUCACAUACAAUGGCGCUCAUUGAUCAGCUGGAAAGAACCAUAUAUUAUAGAUUUUUUUUUUAAUACAGUCUUUGCUUAGCAGCUCUGUAUUGAAAGUCUUCUGCUACUCUUUAUCUACAUACAGCCUCCAUUCAAGCUUUAUUUUGCUGAUAAGUUCCUAGAUGGUUUAUCUGUUUUCAUAAUUUGUUGCAGACCCUGGACUCGAUAAAA